rnacentral:rRNA from 1 species
AGUGAACGCUGGCGGUAGGCCUAACACAUGCAAGUCGAACGGCAGCACAGUAAGAGCUUGCUCUUACGGGUGGCGAGUGGCGGACGGGUGAGGAAUACAUCGGAAUCUACUUUUUCGUGGGGGAUAACGUAGGGAAACUUACGCUAAUACCGCAUACGACCUACGGGUGAAAGCAGGGGAUCUUCGGACCUUGCGCGAUUGAAUGAGCCGAUGUCGGAUUAGCUAGUUGGCGGGGUAAAGGCCCACCAAGGCGACGAUCCGUAGCUGGUCUGAGAGGAUGAUCAGCCACAUUGGAACUGAGACACGUGGCAGACUCCGAGGAGAGGCAGCAGUGGGGAAGAUUGGACAAUGGGCGCAAGCAUGAUCCAGCCAUACCGCGCGGGUGAAGAAGGCCUUCGGCUUGUAGAGCCAUUUUGUUGGGAAAGAAAAGCAGCAGGUUAAUACCCCGCUGUUCAGACAGUACCCAUAGAAUAAGCACCGGCUAACUCCGU